AUAGGUUAUUAAUACACUUCUAAACUUUAACAGUUAACACAGUAAUCUUCCUGGCAGUACACUUGCCACAAUAAAAUUAAUUUGCUUAUGAUAUACAGCUAAAUUCAUAUACUUCAUGGGGAGUGAGGUAAUAUAUGUGCAAUGGGACCUCUUUAAAUUGGCAUCUUGACUGCUGUUGUUGCCAAACUCAAAUCUCAAAUCAUGUCAGACUCCCAGAACUAUGAAGUUGACUGAAAAGAUGCUAGUAUGAAAACUAAAGGCAUUCUCUGUUUCUUUUAUUUGCCUUUUGGUUUUGAAACUUCAUGGUGCACUUCACUCAUGUUUUUAGACUUUUUACUGUUAUUGUAAGGACUGUAAUUUUUUUUAGUAAACCUUUUGUGUCUUAUGUGAUUUCAGGAGACAGAUGUAUGUAAGUUAAUAACACAAGACUCAUGAGAAGACCCCUGGUCUCUCUUACCUUUGAAAGAGGAAGGAGCAGAAAGUACCUUUUCAGCUGCUUUAAGAAAUUACAGUAGUGUAAAUUCUUAAGUUUCUUUAAGCACUUGAUGUGGGCUGAUGCCCACUGACAUCCAUUCAAAGGUCUGCUCUUUCUUCAUCGAUGCAGACCUAAAGCAUGUGUAACUCUCAAUUUCUGUAGGGUUUUUCCUUCUAAAUAUGUAUGCUCCAUACUAGACAUUGCAUGUUGAGCGUCACAGUUAACCCUUCUGAUGCAUGUGGAGGGACAUUGUAGCAAUGUUAUUUUAAUUUUUCUCCAGGAAGCUGUUUUUGAAAACUGCACCUUAAUUCAGGACAGUUGAAUUGAGUUUUGUUAAACUUUUGAAAUAACAAUGCUCUCAGGGAAAAUACUGAACCUGUGAGGUUUUCAGCAGUAAAGAUUAAUAUACUAAAGAUCAGUCUGUAAAAUGAACUGUUGUCUUCUCUGCCUUAUACCUGACCACUCAUAUGUCAGAUGCCUGCUGCAUGAGUGACUGCCGUGGUCAUGAUGCAACACCCUUUCAUGAAGGUGUAAAUGAUACAGAUGGAGUAUUUGUGGGUUUGCAUACUGUAUUGUCAGUGGAAGCAGAGGUUCUAUCUAAUAUAAAAAUACACUGGUUUAGAAGAUCUAUUUUCACCAGUAAGAAGAGGUAUCUCGAACAGAGAGGACUUGACUUAAUUUGUUUAAGCCCAUUUGGGUGUUACUAAGUGUAAAUCUGGAGCAACACAGCGGUAAGAACUGGUCUGUAAGUAAAGUAGAUGGUGCAGAAAGAGGGCUUGUUCAAAGUGCCUAGUGUUUAAUGUUUUGAAACAUUCUGCAACAGGACAGAGUAAUAGUGAAAUACCCCUCUGCUAAAUAUAGCAUCUCUAGUGUAUGUUAGCAUGAAUCCUGCACGUGUUGUAUGACUUCCUCUGUAGGACAGAAUGUGUUGUGGGACUUCCAGAGGUAAUGCUGAAGACAAAGUCAGGGCUUUUCAGGCUUUGUGGGUUUGAACUGCUGGAGUAAACUAAAAUGACUAGGUGCAUUUUCAAUGUGCUAUUACUUUCCUACAUGUAUUAACAUUCAUUAAACCAUUUGCCUUGGUGUGGUUUGCCUAGAAGGUUCGUAAUUUAGUCUUUCAGUUAUUCACUGUGGUUACACCUGAAAUAUCUUUGUCUUUUUACUACCUCAGACCAUUACACACUGGAACAAUAGUUAUUUUGCAAUCAGAAUUAUAGCUAUGUAAUUCUGUCGCGAAGGAAGGAAAAAUGAACCAAAUGUGUAAAGUCCAAUAAUACAGGAAACAUGGCAAAAGAGCCAGCCAGUUCUUUUUAAAAGGUACACUGCAGAUAAAAGAACGAUGGCCUUAUGAGCACAGACUGGAACUCAGGAGAACAUAUUCUUUUUCUUGGUUCUGUUUCUUGUUUGUUUUUGACAAAUACUUUAGAACCCAUUUCUUCUGUUGAAAUUAUCAGGGAUUAGAUGCUUGAGUACCUUGGUCUCUAUUCAUCCUCUUACCGUGUGGAAGUGGGCCAAGCCUGAGCUGCUGCUAGUUAUCAGCUAACUCUGCCAGUGUUGGACAUUUGGAUGGAAGACAGAAACCUGUUCACCCAAACAGCUUAACAUUAAUCUCUCCUGAAUGGUGCUAGAGGCAGAGCAAGAGGCAGGAGUCUGCACUUACUUUGAAACUGUUCCUCCAGGAGUGCCUUGGUCUUGGAGUGCAUGAACUGGGUUUCUUCUGGAUGAAAUUAACUGGAAGAUGUGCUCCAGGAACACACCAGGAGGGCACCACAGCCACAAAUGGACCCUGAGUCACUGGAAUCACACUAGAAGUAAUAAAAAGUAAAGAGCACCUGAAAAGCACUUUUUUGGACCUCAGAUCCUCAGCACCGUUUCACUCUACACAUCUUCUCCUGUCCAUAUAUAGCCUAUAAUACUUGCCAAUGUAGACAUAGUCACCGAGCAACAUACUGAUGUGGCAUUCAGUGAAUUUUUUAGGGGGUGGGAGUGGAUGAACUUUUUUUUCACUAACUCUUGCCCAAUAAACAUAUAAAUAACUAUUAGUAUAUCAACGCUGAAUCUGACUAUCUGAUCAUAGGGUAAAAUGCUUAGGGUACGUUCUUUGUAUAUAUAUAACCUAGCAUUAUACAAAUACACAUGUGUGCCUCUGGUUAUUCACAGGUGCUGUUUAUCAGUGCAAAUAUUGGUAACAAAUAAUCGAGUGCAAGAUGAUAAUGUAAUAAAAUUAAUGAAUGCAGUAUUUUUAAAAGCUGAAAACAA